UAAUAUGAAUGGGAACCGUACCAAAAAUAGAUUUGAUAACAGUAAGACUUAAUAAAUUUGAAAAAAAAAAAAAAAAAAAAAAA
rnacentral:rRNA from 12 species